CUCUACUCGUUUUUGGCUGUCAAUUUUUUUCUACACUUUUAGAUGUAUUUUGUGCAAGAAAUUGCAAUAAAAUAGUCUGCCUAAGAAAAAUUGAAUUUUUUUGGGAACUUUUUUCUGAUUUUGGAUUUUUGGGUCGGAUGGCUUUUUGGUGGUAAUAGGUGCCUUCCUCUACUCGUAUUUUGCCGUCAAUUUUUUUCUACACUUUUAGAUGUAUUUUGUGCAAGAAAUUGCAAUAAAAUAGUCUGCCUAAGAAAAAUUGAAUUUUUUUGGGAACUUUUUUCUGAUUUUGGAUUUUUGGGUAAAAUGACUUUUUGGUGGUAAUAGGUGCCUUCCUCUACUCGUAUUUGGCUGUCAAUUUUUUUCUACACUUUUAGGAGUAUUUUGUGCAAGAAAUUGCAAUAAAAUAGUCUGCCUAAGAAAAAUUGAAUUUUUUUGGGAACUUUUUUCUGAUUUUGGAUUUUUGGGUCAAAUGACUUUUUGGUGGUAAUAGGUGCCUUCCUCUACUCGUAUUUGGCUGUCAAUUUUUUUCUACACUUUUAGGAGUAUUUUGUGCAAGAAAUUGCAAUAAAAUAGUCUGCCUAAGAAAAAUUGAAUUUUUUUGGGAACUUUUUUCUGAUUUUGGAUUUUUGGGUCAAAUGACUUUUUGGUGGUAAUAGGUGCCUUCCUCUACUCGUAUUUGGCUGUCAAUUUUUUUCUACACUUUUAGGAGUAUUUUGUGCAAGAAAUUGCAAUAAAAUAGUCUGCCUAAGAAAAAUUGAAUUUUUUUGGGAACUUUUUUCUGAUUUUGGAUUUUUGGGUCAAAUGACUUUUUGGUGGUAAUAGGUGCC